rnacentral:rRNA from 1 species
ACGUAGGGAGCGAGCGUUGUCCGGAUUUACUGGGUGUAAAGGGUGCGUAGGCGGGUUUGCAAGUCAGGCGUGAAAUACCGGAGCUCAACUCCGGGGCUGCGCUUGAAACUGUAGAUCUUGAGUGAAGUAGAGGCAGGCGGAAUUCCUAGUGUAGCGGUGAAAUGCGUAGAUAUUAGGAGGAACACCAGUGGCGAAGGCGGCCUGCUGGGCUUUAACUGACGCUGAUGCACGAAAGCAUGGGGAGCAAACAG